UGAGACCUCUUGAUGGCCGCGGCUGUAGUUGACUUUGGUCAGUACUGCUGAGGAACUUCCGGGCUCCAUAGAGCACGAUGGCGGAUAACGUCCGCCCAGGGCGACCUGAGAGCAAGCGCAACAGAAAGCAAACCGCCCGAUCAAUCGGGUAAGGGUGAAACGGCGGUGCAAGAGACCACCGGGCCGCUGGUAACAGUCGGCCGCAAGGCAAGCCUCAUCGGGAGCAAGGCCAAGCAGAAGGCACGCCAUGGCGUUCGACAUGGCAAGGGUUGCUCGCCCGGCCUUCGGGUAGGCCGCUAGAGCCUGGCGGCAACGCCAGGUCGAGAUGGAUGGCCAUCCGCGUGGAAACACGUGACAAAACCCGGGGUAUACGAGGUCUCACCCC
rnacentral:RNase_P_RNA from 1 species